rnacentral:rRNA from 1 species
UUAGCCCUAAACACAAAUAAUUACAAUAACAAAAUUAUUCGCCAGAGUACUACCGGCAACAGCCUAAAACUCAAAGGACUUGGCGGUGCUUUACACCCUUCUAGAGGAGCCUGUUCUAUAAUCGAUAAACCCCGAUAAACCUCACCAGUUCUUGCUAAUACAGUCUAUAUACCGCCAUCUUCAGCAAACCCUAAAAAGGAAUAAAAGUAAGCAUAAUCACAACACAUAAAAACGUUAGGUCAAGGUGUAACCUAUGAAAUGGGAAGAAAUGGGCUACAUUUUCUACCACAAGAAAAUCACACGAAAGUUAUUAUGAAACUAAUAACCAAAGGAGGAUUUAGUAGUAAACUAAGAAUAGAG